ensembl:piRNA 21ur-12282 ncRNA
UGACUUAUGUAUUCUCUACCA